rnacentral:lncRNA from 1 species
CGUUGAUUUUUGUCGUAUUUGCUCCAUUAUUGCUCUGCUCCAUUAUUGCUCUGUAUCUGCUCCAUUAUUGCUCUUUAUCUUAUUUUUCCAGCUGGCAUUUUAUCUUCUUUAUUCUAGAUGUACCUCUGGAAUAAUGUUAUCUUCUCCGUUGCACCUCGAACAUUGGUGGUCUGGAUAUUUAUGUCCAAUUAUCUUACAGUAUCUUGUUAGCAGUCCGUCUGAAAUAAAUCCCUUUUUUAUUGCUCUCGCGGUAGAUUGUUUUUCUGGGUUAAGUAGCGUCAUUAUCCAUUGUCUUACGUCUUCCAUAUCUGCUUGUCGUAGCUCUUUUGAAUUUGAAUAUAUCAUUUGGUGAUCUCUUGAAUAGUAGCUCC